UUCGCCCUUAGAGUUUGAUCCUGGCUCAGAACGAACGCUGGCGGCAGGCUUAACACAUGCAAGUCGAACGCCCCGCAAGGGGAGUGGCAGACGGGUGAGUAACACGUGGGAACGUACCCUUCGGUUCGGAACAACUCUGGGAAACUAGAGCUAAUACCGGAUACGAUCGCGAGAUGAAAGGUUCACCGCCGAGGGAUCGGCCCGCGUCUGAUUAGCUAGUUGGUGAGGUAACGGCUCACCAAGGCGACGAUCAGUAGCUGGUCUGAGAGGAUGAUCAGCCACAUUGGGACUGAGACACGGCCCAAACUCCUACGGGAGGCAGCAGUGGGGAAUAUUGGACAAUGGGCGCAAGCCUGAUCCAGCCAUGCCGCGUGAGCGAUGAAGGCCCUAGGGUUGUAAAGCUCUUUUACCUGGGAAGAUAAUGACGGUACCAGGAGAAUAAGCCCCGGCUAACUUCGUGCCAGCAGCCGCGGUAAUACGAAGGGGGCUAGCGUUGUUCGGAUUUACUGGGCGUAAAGCGCACGUAGGCGGACGCUUAAGUCAGGGGUGAAAUCCCGAGGCUCAACCUCGGAACUGCCUUUGAUACUGGGUGUCUUGAGUCCGGGAGAGGUGAGUGGAACUGCGAGUGUAGAGGUGAAAUUCGUAGAUAUUCGCA
rnacentral:rRNA from 1 species